UGAGUGAAGAAGGUUUUCGGAUCGUAAAACUCUGUUGUAAGGGAAGAACAAGUACAGUAGUAACUGGCUGUACCUUGACGGUACCUUAUUAGAAAGCCACGGCUAACUACGUGCCAGCAGCCGCGGUAAUACGUAGGUGGCAAGCGUUGUCCGGAAUUAUUGGGCGUAAAGCGCGCGCAGGCGGUCCUUUAAGUCUGAUGUGAAAGCCCACGGCUCAACCGUGGAGGGUCAUUGGAAACUGGAGGACUUGAGUGCAGAAGAGGAAAGUGGAAUUCCAAGUGUAGCGGUGAAAUGCGUAGAGAUUUGGAGGAACACCAGUGGCGAAGGCGACUUUCUGGUCUGUAACUGACGCUGAGGCGCGAAAGCGUGGGGAGCAAACAGGAUUAGAUACCCUGGUAGUCCACGCCGUAAACGA
rnacentral:rRNA from 1 species